rnacentral:tRNA from 2 species
UCCUCCUUAGCUCAGUUGGUAGAGCGACGGACUGUUAAUCCGCAGGUCACUGGGUUCAAGUCCAGUAGGAGGAG